rnacentral:rRNA from 1 species
AUUGAACGCUGGCGGCAGGCCUAACACAUGCAAGUCGAGCGGAUGAGAGGAGCUUGCUUCUCGAUUCAGCGGCGGACGGGUGAGUAAUGCCCAGGAAUCUGCCUGGUAGUGGGGGGCAACGUUUCGAAAGGAACGCUAAUACCGCAUACGUCCUACGGGAGAAAGCAGGGGACCUUCGGGCCUUGCGCUAUCAGAUGAGCCUAGGACGGAUUAGCUAGUUGGGGAGGUAAUGGCUCACCAAGGCGACGAUCCGUAACUGGUCUGAGAGGAUGAUCAGUCACACUGGAACUGAGACACGGUCCAGACUCCUACGGGAGGCAGCAGUGGGGAAUAUUGGACAAUGGGCGAAAGCCUGAUCCAGCCAUGCCGCGUGUGUGAAGAAGGUCUUCGGAUUGUAAAGCACUUUAAGUUGGGAGGAAGGGUUGUAGAUUAAUACUCUGCAAUUUUGACGUUACCGACAGAAUAAGCACCGGCUAACUCUGUGCCAGCAGCCGCCGUAAAAC